rnacentral:rRNA from 1 species
UACAGAGGUCCCAAGCGUUGUUCGGAUUCAUUGGGCGUAAAGGGUGCGUAGGUGGCGUCGUAAGUCGGGUGUGAAAUCUCGGGGCUUAACUCCGAAACUGCAUUCGAUACUGCGGUGCUUGAGGACUGGAGAGGAGACUGGAAUUUACGGUGUAGCAGUGAAAAUGCGUAGAGAUCGUAAGGAAGACCAGUGGCGAAGGCGGGGUCUCUGGACAGUUCCUGACACUGAGGCACGAAGGCCAGGGGAGCAAACGGG